rnacentral:lncRNA from 1 species
CUACAAUGAUAAUAAUUUUAAGUCUUGAUUAACAAAAUUACUAUAAGUCUCUUCAUAAAGAAUAGUUCUUGCCUAAAUUGAAAUGGUUUAUUUUUCUUCACAGGAUAAAAUGAAGGUUGUAAAACUUAAAUGAAUAUUAAAGAAGGUAAAAAGUUUGUGGGAGUGCUGACUGAAAUUUAAUAAAUUUGUUCAAAAAAGUGUGUUUUGUCCUAAAAUAAAAUGGCUGCUUUUCAUAAAAUCAGAAUGAACAUAUGCAGGACGGGACUUGAAUGCAUGUGUUUCAGGUAUUGGCCCUUGGAUUCAUCACACUAGAGCUAAAAGGGCACAGUCCAACAAGAAACAAAACAACUAGACAACUCACCCCAUACCUGACUGUCCCUUGAAAGUCCAAAUUGCCCGGAGCCACCGAGAAUCACCAUCACCUGACUAGAUGGGCUCCUAUUUCCUUUGGUUCCUACUCCUCUUUGGACCACUCCGCUUGCUGUUUGGGACUGGACUGGCAGCUACAGCUCCCAGAGACUGAAGUGUAGCUGAAAGGAUACUAAUCUUAAUAGUGUACUGUGUCAUGUAGCAUGCUUUACUGCCUUAAGUUGUUUUUCCACUUAGCAUAAGUGAUGCCCUAUAAAAAGUGUAUGAGGCGGCAUCAGAGGGGGGAUUGUUGAGGAAUAAAAAGCAUAACCUUGCAAAAUAUCUAAAAAGUCACUCCUGCCCCCACUUCUGUGGAUCGGCCUGUGAGGGCGUGGCCUUGCAGGAGAAUAUCAAAUAAAUAACUCCUGCCCUGUUUCUGUAAAUCAGCCUGUGAAAACAUGGCCUAGUAGAAAGAUAUCAAACGAGUGACUUCAACCCCCUCCCUCCUGCUUCUGUAAAUCAGCCCGCAACCUUGCACCUGCAUUCUGCCUCUGUAAUCUCCCUGCUUGUAAAAUUUCACCUAGCAACGUGUUAGCCAAUGAACAAAAGCUAUGCUGGUCCCACCUGAAAUCCUAUAUAAACCUAUGAAAACUGAAAAACGGGGCUCAAAAUUUGGAGAUUGACUUUCUCUGGACCCACACAUAAUAAAACUGUUCAUUCACCUU